rnacentral:misc_RNA from 1 species
GAUGAAGAACGUAGCGAAAUGCGAUAACUAGUGUGAAUUGCAGAAUUCCGUGAAUCAUCGAGUCUUUGAACGCACAUUGCGCCCCCUGGUAUUCCGGGGGGCAUGCCUGUCCGAGCGUCAUUGCUGCCCAUCAAGCACGGCUUGUGUGUUGGGUCGUCGUCCCCCCCUCCGGGGGGGGACGGGCCCUAAAGGCAGCGGCGGCACCGCGUCCGAUCCUCGAGCGUAUGGGGCUUUGUCACCCGCUCUGUAGGCCCGGCCGGCGCUUGCCGAACGCAAAUCAAUCUUUUUCCAGGUUGACCUCGGAUCAGGUAGGGAUACCCGCUGAACUUAAGCAUAUCAAUAAGCGGAGGA